rnacentral:rRNA from 1 species
UGUUAAGUGAGGUUCCCCC